rnacentral:rRNA from 1 species
UGGGGAAUAUUGCACAAUGGGCGAAAGCCUGAUGCAGCAACGCCGCGUGAGCGAUGAAGGCCUUCGGGUCGUAAAGCUCUGUCCUCAAGGAAGAUAAUGACGGUACUUGAGGAGGAAGCCCCGGCUAACUACGUGCCAGCAGCCGCGGUAAUACGUAGGGGGCUAGCGUUAUCCGGAUUUACUGGGCGUAAAGGGUGCGUAGGCGGUCUUUUAAGUCAGGAGUGAAAGGCUACGGCUCAACCGUAGUAAGCUCUUGAAACUGGAGGACUUGAGUGCAGGAGAGGAGAGUGGAAUUCCUAGUGUAGCGGUGAAAUGCGUAGAUAUUAGGAGGAACACCAGUAGCGAAGGCGGCUCUCUGGACUGUAACUGACGCUGAGGCACGAAAGCGUGGGGAGCAAAC